rnacentral:rRNA from 1 species
UAGGGAAUCUUCGGCAAUGGGGGGAACCCUGACCGAGCAACGCCGCGUGAGUGAAGAAGGUUUUCGGAUCGUAAAGCUCUGUUGUUAAGGAAGAACGAGUGUGAGAAUGGAAAGUUCAUACUGUGACGGUACUUAACCAGAAAGGGACGGCUAACUACGUGCCAGCAGCCGCGGUAAUACGUAGGUCCCGAGCGUUGUCCGGAUUUAUUGGGCGUAAAGCGAGCGCAGGCGGUUAGAUAAGUCUGAAGUUAAAGGCAGUGGCUCAACCAUUGUAGGCUUUGGAAACUGUUUAACUUGAGUGCAGAAGGGGAGAGUGGAAAUCCAUGUGUAGCGGUGAAAUGCGUAGAUAUAUGGAGAAACACCGGUGGCGAAAGCGGCUCUCUGGUCUGUAACUGACGCAGAGGCUCGAAAGCGUGGGGAGCGAACAGG